rnacentral:rRNA from 1 species
UACGGAGGGGGCUAGCGUUGUUCGGAAUUACUGGGCGUAAAGCGCACGUAGGCGGCUUUGCAAGUCAGAGGUGAAAGCCCGGGGCUCAACCCCGGAAUUGCCUUUGAGACUGCAUCGCUAGAAUUGUGGAGAAGUAAGUGGAAUUCCGAGUGUAGAGGUGAAAUUCGUAGAUAUUCGGAAGAACACCAGUGGCGAAGGCGACUUACUGGACACAUAUUGACGCUGAGGUGCGAAAGCGUGGGGAGCAAACAGG